UCACGUCUUACGACGGCAGUUUCACUAGAGUUCCCAGCGUUACCUGAUGGCAACUAGUAAUGAGGGUUGCGCUCGUUUAGGGACUUAACCCGACAUCUCACGACACGAGCUGACGACGGCCAUGCAUCACCUGUCACUAGGUUCCCGAAGGCACUCUCUGGUUUCCCAGAAAUUCCUAGGAUGUCAAGCCUUGGUAAGGUUCUGCGCGUAUCCUCGAAUUAAACCACACGCUCCACCGCUUGUGCGGGUCCCCGUCAAUUCCUUUAAGUUUUAGCCUUGCGGCCGUACUCCCCAGGCGGGAUGCUUAACGCGUUAGCUUCGCAACUCUAGGGGUCGAUACCUAGAACUGCUAGCAUCCAAAGUUUACGGCGUGGACUAC
rnacentral:misc_RNA from 1 species